UACGUAGGGUGCGAGCGUUAAUCGGAAUUACUGGGCGUAAAGCGUGCGCAGGCGGUGAUGUAAGACCGAUGUGAAAUCCCCGGGCUUAACCUGGGAACUGCAUUGGUGACUGCAUCGCUCGAGUAUGGCAGAGGGGGGUAGAAUUCCACGUGUAGCAGUGAAAUGCGUAGAGAUGUGGAGGAAUACCGAUGGCGAAGGCAGCCCCCUGGGUCAAUACUGACGCUCAUGCACGAAAGCGUAGGGGAGCAAACAGG
rnacentral:rRNA from 1 species